rnacentral:rRNA from 1 species
UGCCCGGUAGCUAAAUGCGGAAAAGAUAAGUGCUGAAAGCAUCUAAGCACGAAACUUGCCCCAAGAUGAGUUCUCCCUGAGACUUAGAGUCUCCUGAAGGAACGUUGAAGACGACGACGUUGAUAGGCCGGGUGUGUAAGCGCAGCGAUGCGUUGAGCUAACCGGUACUAAUGAACCGUGAGGCUUAACCUU